rnacentral:rRNA from 1 species
GAUGAACGCUGGCGGCGUGCCUAAUACAUGUAAGUCGAACGGAGAGCUAGCAAUAGUUCUUAGUGGCGAACGGGUGAGUAACGCGUUGGUGACCUGCCCCGAAGAGGGGGAUAACAGCUCGAAAGGGCUGCUAAUACCCCAUGAGGUCCAGCUGGUUAGAGUGGCUGGACGAAAGGAGAGAAAUCUCGCUUUGGGAGGGGCCUGCGUCCCAUCAGCUAGUUGGUAGGGUAAAAGCCUACCAAGGCGAAGACGGGUAGGGGACCUGAGAGGGUGAUCCCCCACACUGGCACUGAAACACGGGGCCAGACACCUACGGGUGGCAG